ensembl:processed_transcript
GCCGAAAACAAAUUCCAGAUGGCAAAGCUUGUUGGGGACCUCAACGCAACUGACCUUCCUAGAAUCAUCGUCACCUCUGAAGAGACUUGCCACGGUCUGCACAGAUCCAGCACUGGGGAAUGAGGAAUUUGACACUGUAAUUUUUUUUUUUCCUUUCGUGCCUUGAAAGAGACUCUUCCCACCAGCUUUUACUACCCACACACACCCUCCAUGCACUCGGAAGAUGAAGGCAGGAGGAAAAGGAGUUCAACCUUUGUUAUGCAUUUAGUUGGAGGCCAGCCUGGGGGUCUUGUGGGGCCCUGUAUCAAAAAGGUGAGGUGAGAACUAUUCUCUCAAAAGCAGAGUAUAAACUCUCAGCCUGUGUGCUGAUCCUGUCCCAGCCUUUUAAACUAAAUGAGUUAUAUAACUACUAUACAAACCCCACCCUACCCCAGCUGUCCUCUAAGCAAUAGUCUACCUAAGGAACUGUGCGCCUUGAAGCCAAAAAACAAAACAAACAAACAAACCCCACAGUGCCCUCACUUGCAAAGUGUGCUUG